CUAUAAAAGAUGUAACAGAUGCAAACUGUAAAACAAGGGCAAAUUAACCCUUGCUUGCCUGAACAAAAUCCAUCCUCCUAACCUAGUCCCUAUCUUUUGUCUCCUAGGCUCCCACACCAGGCUCCACACAAAAACCUAGGA
rnacentral:sRNA from 1 species